GAUGAACGCUGGCGGCGUGCUUAACACAUGCAAGUCGAACGGAAAGGCCCAAGCUUGCUUGGGUACUCGAGUGGCGAACGGGUGAGUAACACGUGGGUGAUCUGCCCUGCACUUCGGGAUAAGCCUGGGAAACUGGGUCUAAUACCGGAUAGGACGAUGGUUUGGAUGCCAUUGUGGAAAGUUUUUUCGGUGUGGGAUGAGCUCGCGGCCUAUCAGCUUGUUGGUGGGGUAAUGGCCUACCAAGGCGUCGACGGGUAGCCGGCCUGAGAGGGUGUACGGCCACAUUGGGACUGAGAUACGGCCCAGACUCCUACGGGAGGCAGGAGUGGGGAAUAUUGCACAAUGGGGGCAAGCCUGAUGCAGCGACGCCGGGUGGGGGAUGACGGCCUUCGGGUUGUAAACUCCUUUCGCUAGGGACGAAGCGUUUUUGUGACGGUACCUGGAGAAGAAGCACCGGCUAACUACGUG
rnacentral:rRNA from 1 species